rnacentral:rRNA from 1 species
ACAUGCAGAGAACUUUCCUAGAGAUGGAGUUGGUGGCCUUCGGGAACGUCUGACACAGGUGCUGCAUGGCUGUCGUCAGCUCGUGUCGUGAGAUGUUGGGUUAAGUCCCGUAACGAGCGCAACCCUUGUCCUUAGUUACCAGCACGUUAUGGUGGGCACUCUAAGGAGACUGCCGGUGACAAACCGGAGGAAGGUGGGGAUGACGUCAAGUCCUCAUGGCCUUUAUGACCAGGGCUACACACGUACUACAAUGGCCGAUACAAAGGGCAGCGACACUGCGAGGUGAAGCCAAUCCCGUAAAAUCGGUCUCAGUCCGGAUUGGAGUCUGCAACUCGACUCCAUGAAGUUGGAAUCGCUAGUAAUCGUGGAUCAGCAUGCCACGGUGAAUACGUUCCCGGGCCUU